rnacentral:lncRNA from 1 species
AUGAAAUUCCAGAUGUUCAAGCUGGUUUUAGAAAAGGCAGAGGAACCAGAGAUCAAAUUGCCAACAUCCACUGGAUCAUUGAAAAAGCAAGAGAGUUCCAGAAAAACAUCUACUUCUGCUUUAUUGACUAUGCUAAAGCCUUUGACUGUGUGGAUUACAACAAACUGGAAAAUUCUGAAAGAGAUGGGAAUACCAGACCACCUGACCUGCCUCUUGAGAAACCUAUAUGCAGGUCAGGAAGCAACAGUUAGAACUGGACAUGGAACGACAGACUGGUUCCAAAUAGGAAAAGGAGUACGUCAAGGCUGUAUAUUGUCACCCUACUUAUUUAACUUAUAUGCAGAGUACAUCAUAAGAAAUGCUGGGCUGGAAGAAGCACAAGCUGGAAUGAAGAUUGCCGGGAGAAAUAUCAAUAACCUCAGAGAUGCAGAUGACUCCACCCUUAUGGCAGAAAGUGAAGAUGAACUCAAAAGCCUCUUGAUGAAAGUGAAAGAGGAGAGUGAAAAAGUGGGCUUAAAGCUCAACAUUGAGAAAACGAAGAUCAUGGCAUCUAGUCCCAUCACUUCAUGGGAAAUAGAUGGGGAAACAGUGGAAACAGUAUCAGACUUUCUUUUUGGGAGCUCCAAAAUCACUGCAGAUGGUGAUUGCAGCCAUGAAAUUAAAAGACACUUACUCCUUGGAAGAAAAGUUAUGACCAACCUAGAUAGCAUAUUCAAAAGCAGAGACAUUACUUUGCCAACAAAGGUCCAUCUAAUCAAGGCUAUGGUUUUUCCAGUGGUCAUGUAUAGAUGUGAGAAUUGGACUGUGAAGAAAGCUGAGUGCCGAAGAAUUGAUGCUUUUGAACUGUGGUGUUGGAGAAGAUUCUUGAGCGUCCCUUGGACUGCAAGGAGAUCCAACCAGUCCAUUCUAAAGGAGAUCAGUCCUGGGUAUUCUUUGGAAAGACUGAUGAUAAAGCUGAAACUCCAAUACUUUGGCUACCUCAUGCAUAGAGUUGACUCAUUGGAAACGACUCUGAUGCUGGGAGGGAUUGGGGACAGGAGGAGAAGGGGACAACAGAAGAUGAGAUGGCUGGAUGGCAUCACCAGUGAGAUGGACAUGAGUUUGGGUGAACUCCGGGAGUUGGUGAUGGACAGGGAGGCCUGGUGUGCUGCAAUUCAUGGGGUCGCAGAGUUGGACAUGACUGAGCGACUGAAUUGA